AUGACCCUUCCUCAAGGACAGAGGGCACCCUCAGCAAGUUUGCUGAUGAGACAAAACUGGGAAGAGUGGCUGGCAUAUCAGAAGACUGUGCUGCCCCUCAG